rnacentral:rRNA from 1 species
CCUACGGGUGGCAGCAGUGAGGAAUAUUGGUCAAUGGACGCAAGUCUGAACCAGCCAUGCCGCGUGAAGGAAGACGGCCCUAUGAGUUGUAAACUGCUUUUGUACGAGGGUAAACGCAUAUACGCGUAUCUGUCUGUAUGUAUCGUACGAAUAAGGAUCGGCUAACUCCGUGCCAGCAGCCGCGGUAAUACGGAGGAUUCAAGCGUUAUCCGGAUUUAUUGGGUUUAAAGGGUGCGUAGGCGGUCGGAUAAGUUAGAGGUGAAAUCUCGAGGCUCAACUUUGAAAUUGCAGUUGAUACUGGCAGGCUAGAGAGUAGUAGCGGUGGGCGGAAUGUGUGGUGUAGCGGUGAAAUGCUUAGAGAUCAUGCAGAACACCGAUUGCGAAGGCAGCUUACCGGGCUACAUCUGACGUUGAGGCACGAAAGCGUGGGGAGCAAACAGGAUUAGAUACCCUGGUAGUC